rnacentral:rRNA from 1 species
UACAGAGGUCUCAAGCGUUGUUCGGAAUCACUGGGCUUACAGGGUGCGUAGGCGGCUUGUUAAGUAGGGUGUGAAAUCCCCCGGCCCAACCGGGGAAUGGCGCUCUAAACUAGCAGGCUUGAGUGAGCUAGGGGUGCACGGAACUUCCAGUGGAGCGGUGAAAUGUGUUGAUAUUGGAAGGAACACCGGAGGCGAAAGCGGUGCACUGGGGCUUAACUGACGCUGAGGCACGAAAGCCAGGGGAGCGAACGGG